AAAGAAGCGAUGAACAGGACAUGGGUUACUUUUGAUGGUUAGCAGAGAGGGGAGGAUGCUGGAAACUUCCUAUCCUAGCAAAGUAACUUACCACCUUGUGAGCAGUAUUGGAGAAAUCAAGUAACCAUUAUCGUAAAGCCUGCGUUAAAGGACCAUAAGUCAAUCGGCAUAGCUUGUCGGUUGGGAAAAUGGGUGGAACCACGGAUCAACACAUUCGUCCCUUGU
rnacentral:ncRNA from 1 species